UGGAGAUGGCAGCAGUUGGAAGCAAUCCGGAGAAGGACUCGGAUCUGUGCAUUGUUUCACAGAGCAUCCAGAAGGAAAGAAGGUGAAGAGUGAAGCAAGAGGAGAGAAGAAUGUCCCUGUAUUGCUUUCCAGUCUGUCAUGGUCAUGGACUCCAUUAGGCUACAGGACCCCCUGUUAGCGUCAUCGCUCCUGGUCUCUUGGAAGUGGCCUUACAGAGCACAAGCUCUUUCUGAUUUCCUCGGGAGUAGUUUGACUGAUUCUGAUAUUUUUGAGUUGCUCAGGACCCUAAAAAUCCCAGAUCCUUAAAUCCAGGGUAGGACCAUUGGCCACCAGAGUGCUGUGAAGAGUGGGUACCAGGACUGGAGGAUGAAAGGCUGUGGUAGAAGAUAUGGCUAAGCAGAGAAUCCAAGCUGGCAUUAUUGGUGAAGAAGGAAACUGGGAUAGAGUAAGGAAGAAUGGCAUGAAAAAAGCAAGCACAUGGGCAACUGAAAGGAGAGACUAACAGGUAUUACCUUGCUGUAGAAUGGAAGAAAAAGGAGUGUAAAAGAUGUCUGGAAGAAAGACACAAGGUGCUGAGAGAAGUGAUUUGUUGCUUGGGCUUGGACUGGAUGACAGAUGGGAGGCUGCAGUGAGGAAUGAGACACAGAAGGGAGAAGGGGGCAGACAGCAGAAUGAGCUGGACCUUGGGUGGGCAGCAGAGGGGAGGUGACAGGCGGCAUGGUUUGGGGGAGGCUGGCUGCCAGCCCUCCUGGGUGAUGGAGUGGCAUUGUCAGUAGUGGGAUUGUCAGGGAUGGCAGGUGACAAGGUGUGGGCAAUAUGGAGCAGAAAACGUUCAUCCCUCACCCCUGAUGUGGGAGGGGUGAGCUCAGUUUCUCGCAGUACAGUUCCUCAAAAUCCAGGGCCAUCUGGACACAGUCCUGUCCCUCGCACAAGCUGUCACCCAGGAAUUGCUCAGGCAGCCGUGACUAGCUGGUGCAUCUGGGAGUAUCUGUGCUCAUGGCCAGGAGGGCAGAUGGCACCAGAUUCACUACAGUGGCUUUGCAGCACCUGGUACCCCUGUUUUGGUGGGGGGUCCUGUGGAGCCAGGUGAGCUUUGCCUUGGGCACUGUGGUGUCACUUGAUUUGGUGGUACAGGGCUGCUCUGCCACAUUGACCCAGCAGUCUCCCUGACGCCUUCAAUAUCAUUGUGCAAAUAUUUGGGGAUAGGUGUGCUCCUUUCCAGCUGGCCUUCUAGUGUUGGGCAUUGCUGAAGAGCAGCCUGAGGUGGGUGAUGAAGGAGGACAGUGGACCUCAGCUGACAUCAUCUCA